rnacentral:rRNA from 1 species
UACGGGGGGAGCAAGCGUUGUUCGGAUUUACUGGGCGUAAAGGGCGCGUAGGCGGUCAGCACAAGUCAGUUGUGAAAUCUCCGAGCUUAACUCGGAACGGUCAACUGAUACUGUGCGACUAGAGUGCGGAAGGGGCAACUGGAAUUCUCGGUGUAGCGGUGAAAUGCGUAGAUAUCGAGAGGAACACCUGCGGCGAAGGCGGGUUGCUGGGCCGACACUGACGCUGAUGCGCGAAAGCCAGGGAGCGAACGGG